GGAGGCUAGCCCAGAUCCUCCUCUUCCAGCCCAUCCUCUUCGUCACGCACAGUGGAAAAGGUUGGCCACGACGGUGCUAGCUCGAGCUCCGCCACCCCAUCCCCGGCCGUUGUUUGUUGAUGGCAGGCCGAGCUCCGCCUCCACGCCCUGCGGAGUCGGCCCGAUGUGUUGGGAUUGGACCUCGAUGGCGUCUGCUCCCGAUGGGACCUCAACGGCGACCUGCAGGUGUCAAAAGCUAUGUGACAAGAAUUAGGUGGCAUGACAGUGUCCAAAAUAAAGCGACGACAUAGAUUCCCGGCCUCAUUCGUGCCGCCGCUCGAGCCGCACGGCGUACCACGCCCCUCGGCGGCAUGGUGAGCAGAAGCAGCAAGCACUUAUUGAUGAUCGCCUUCUUCACAUUUAUGGCCGGCCGGACCGACGAAGGCAUAUGGCUACGUGGCGGGCGCUGCAAGAAGCUAUUGUUUUGAGGUUGAUUUGACUUUGCACAUCGUCUGCGUCCUCAGUGAUGUGCCAAGCUCCCAUUUAUGUGAUCUUUGCAAGUGAGGCAGAGAAAGCAGGGACAAAAGUCGGCAACCACAAGGAAGGCGCCCAAGUACGCUCUAUUUUGUUGUCACCAUUGUAAAAUCUUAAACGCAAGAGAUAAGAGAAUUUUGGCUGAAACCAAGCUCACUGACGUAUAGAUUAAUUUUGCUUUCAUUGAUGCUGAUGUAAUUGAAGAGGGCACAUUGGCUGCAGGCAUCGGGUGCCGGAAAAUCGAAAGCAGAGAGCCUUCUUUCAUGCAAGAGAAGGUGCAACUCUUGAUUGGUCUGGAUCCAUAUGGUAUUGUUAAAUCGGCUGGCAAGGUUGCCUUUAUCAUUGACAAUGACAAAUAUGUGAAUGGCAUCGAAUGUUCCAUUCCAGUUUUGAUCAAAAGUGUAAGCAAUCUCUAUCUUCUGGCACCAGAGACUAGAUCUAUUUUCUGUAAUGUUCAUUAAGAGAAGAGUAGAUUAUUUCAGGGAAACUGGAUCGGCACUGCUCAAGAAAUUGAUGAGUUGUUCCUAGGCGACGCAGAAGUGUGCAGCUCAUCAAUCUUUUAAUAACUUCUAAAAUUUCCUUCUCUUAGCAGCUACUAGAUUUCUGAAUAUGAACAUUAAAUUGCACUUCCCGACCCCAGAAAAUUAAAACCAGUCCGUUGAUCUCGUUACGUGAUACCUGAAAGUUUGAAGGAGGCCCUCCAUUGAACAGCUGGUCCAUCGGGAGGCGACUUCCCAUUGGCCAAGGAGGGCCAUCGCAUGCUUGAUGUCAUCUUCACAACCCCCAUCCAGGAUCUUGGUAUGCGUGUAAAUGGAACCCUGUUACUUCUCAAGGAUCUAAAUUUGACAUGAUAAUUCAGUAACUAUUUCUCCAAUGGAGGUUUAGCUGGUUUGCCUUCGUCACCCCAACGCUACACCAUGUUUAUUUGGUUUCUGAUGACCUCCCGUGCGACAUUGCUGGUAUGUUUUGCCUUCCUGCUGUGCUUGCAAGCAUUUGGCAUCUACUGCAAUCUUGAGAUGAUGCAUGUGCUGCCUAAUUUUCUACUACUAAAUCACAAAGCCAUGUUCCGAUUACUGGCAACAAGAAUCAACACGAUAACUCAUUCUGUUACAUGCUCUAAACUAUUUUAUUGGAGUUUGCUAAUUCCAUGUACUGGAAGCAAUAGCCUACAAAUUUGAUCACUAUGCGUAGCGUUUUUCCUUCCAAUGGAUUAUCAUGUUCCAACAAUUUCCUACAAAAGCCAGUAUGUUUGUUCGCUCUACCAGCGGUUCUUUGCAUAGUUGUAUGCUUAGAGAAUAUUAUAGUGGAUUGUUAGCCAAGUCUUAUUUGUGACAAGGUGCUAAGCUGCCGAGGUAAUUGUACACCUAAACUGAUUCUACAUAUUAAUUACAUAUAUGCAAAAGAAAAAAAAUUACUUUUCCUUUUCAAAUUCACUAACUGGGAACAUGAUAGUGACCUGGUUGUAGGGGCCGGGUGUGUGCUUAAUCUCCUCACCCACCUCAGUUGAGGUCUAGGAACUGUUUGGGCGCACCCUUAUUCAGUAUGUACUGAAUUUUACUUGCUAUUUUUUAAUCCUAUUAAACCAAGAUGCCUUUUCUGCAUUGUCACACAUUGAUACUCCUAUUUGAAGGACCCAAGAAAAUUCAGCAUUUGUACUACUCCGUUUCUUAGUAGUUAUGCUCUUUUUCUGAAAUCGAAAUAGUCAAGUACAAAAAUAGUGUUGAUUCUUCUCCUUUUGUUAAUGAUUUGUUCUAACUAUAACAUUAAAGUGAAUCGUAUUUAUGAAACUGUCCCAAUUGCAGAACAAGUUGGCAUGGAGCAAUCUGUUCUAAAAUUAAUGUAUCCAUGUGUUACUGCCAAUCAGGUGUUUUCCUUCCUUUCUUUUGCUGAAGCUCUAUAUGAAUUGUUCUCUGCAUGUAAGUGGUCCAUAUGGAUUUUUAAUAUAUUAUGCUAUGUACAAGUGAUCGUUCUAUGUUUGCAGGUUAGGUAUGAUGGAUAGUGUCCGAUUAUGGAUAGUGGUCCAUAAGGAUUUUUAAUAUAUUAUGAUGUUGUGUUAUGUACGAAAACAAUUAUUGUGAUGUUGAUGCAGGCAAUUAUACAAGGAAAAUAAUUGUUUUUGUCAAAGGUCUUGAUUUCUGUGGUGGGCGCUAUGAUACUCCUAGGCAUCCUCUAUAUUGAACGCUUCAAACUCUGUGCAAGGAGGGUUAUUAAAUCCAAACUUUGUUGUAAGUGUCUGAUUCCGUUGUCAUAUACCCCAUUUGUGUUUUAAAGAAGAUUGUAUAUAUACUUAUGCCUUACUUCAGUUUCUCAUGUAAUGUUUACCAUAGUGUGCCUGGUACAGUUUCAAUGAUUAUUACCUAAGCCAUUUGGUUUUUAUAAUUCUCACUUGAUGAUGCCAACAGUUCAUCAAUUCCACCUGAAUUUAUCUGCCUGAUCUUGUAGCUAUCACUAAGCUUUGAUUGCUUGCAAUUUUAGGAUCAGUAGCAAGCUGAUGAUGCAGACCACUACUGGGUCUCGACUAUUUGAACACGAUGUCAGGAUCUUUGACAGAACAUAAUUUUGCGGACAGGGAGUUUGAGGCUAUCAUUGAUAAGGUAUCCUGGAGAGUUGCAAGAUUAUUGUCUUGUUUUGAAUCAUGUUCCUAUCGGUUUCUUCCUGCUGAGAGCGUAUUAUGUGGGCAAUGUAAUCAUCAUGCUCUACAGCUCUGUUUCCUUGAAAAUUGACCCUGUAAAUUCAUGUUUUCCUAGAACUGAUCCUGUAAAUUCUUCCUUUAUUUUAAUGAAGUUUGGCGCCAGUCUCUUUGAGAUAACAGCACAUUACAAACUAUUAUUAGGUUGCUACUGGUUGUGGUUAAGCUCAUCAAUUUUGUUGGAGGCCAGUAAUGUGCCAAACACAAUGCAAAAAAGAAAUUAAAAUGGGCGCCACCUAUCUGGCACCGCAAAGCUUCCGCCCAGGCGGGGCACCAAGGGUGCGCCCCAACCACUAGUCUUAAUAUAAAGAACGCAUUAUAAAGAGCGUAUUAGCACAAGGUGAAUGCAUGCAAGCAGAGACUCGCAGUUCCUUCCUCCUGGCAUAGGAAGGGAGGGCCCCUUUCCCUGCUCCACCUGGGCGGGCAGACACGCAUGCACGUACACCAUGCUACCGUGCGGGCAGCUAGCUAGCUCUCUCCCAGUUCCAAAACCUGCCUGUCUGCACAUGCUUUGAAUGCGGAACUUGACAGGAGCUGCGCCCUUGCAGUAUCCAUUUCUUCGCUCGCUUCCUGCCUCACCUCGCGCAUUCAAUUGUUCCUCCUCCUUCCCCACCCCCUUCCUGC